ensembl:ncRNA F58A4.17 ncRNA
AGUUGGCAACUUCUAGAUCGGCGUUGGCUAAAAGUUUAGAUUUUAUUUUAAAUAUGUACAAAAUGGAAAGUGUCACCUGAGUACAAGGAAGAGUCAUCCUUAUUGAUCUUAUCAGCUAAUUGACCUCCCAAAGAAACACAAUACCUU